CCUACGGGUGGCUGCAGUGGGGAAUAUUGGACAAUGGGCGAAAGCCUGAUCCAGCCAUGCCGCGUGUGUGAAGAAGGCCUUCGGGUUGUAAAGCACUUUCAGUGGGGAAGAAAGCCUUGGGGCUAAUACCCUCGAGGAAGGACAUCACCUACAGAAGAAGCACCGGCUAACUCCGUGCCAGCAGCCGCGGUAAUACGGAGGGUGCGAGCGUUAAUCGGAAUUACUGGGCGUAAAGCGCGCGUAGGCGGUCUGAUAAGCCGGUUGUGAAAGCCCCGGGCUCAACCUGGGAACGGCAUCCGGAACUGUCAGGCUAGAGUGCAGGAGAGGAAGGUAGAAUUCCCGGUGUAGCAGUGAAAUGCGUAGAGAUCGGGAGGAAUACCAGUGGCGAAGGCGGCCUUCUGGACUGACACUGACGCUGAGGUGCGAAAGCGUGGGUAGCAAACAGGAUUAGAUACCCUAGUAGUC
rnacentral:rRNA from 1 species